GAACUUGAUCUGCGUCAGUGAUCCGUGGGGUGCCGGGGCAGCCUUUUCCGGCCAUUGACACAAGUCAAUAUCGGCGCCCCCCACGCCGCUAACCUGAGCCCAUCAACCAAGCAGACAGGGCAACAGGAGGCCAGCAUCAUGUUCAUCGACGAGGUGGUUCUUGCCGGAGUGAUUACGGUUGGCCUGAUGGUCCUGUUUUUCGGUGGUGUCGGAUAUUUCAUCUGGAAGGACUCGCAUCGUCACUGAGACGACGAUCCUUUCGGAUUACACAGAGCACGCAAGGCACUUAGGGCGACUUCGAGUCGCCCGUU
rnacentral:misc_RNA from 1 species